rnacentral:piRNA from 1 species
UAGGAAAUUUCCCCAUGAAAUACUAGUUUU